UACGUAGGGGGCAAGCGUUGUCCGGAUUUAUUGGGCGUAAAGAGCGUGUAGGCGGCUUUACAGGUCCGUUGUGAAAACUCGAGGCUCAACCUCGAGACGCCGGUGGAAACCGUAAAGCUAGAGUCCGGAAGAGGAGAGUGGAAUUCCUGGUGUAGCGGUGAAAUGCGCAGAUAUCAGGAGGAACACCGGUGGCGAAAGCGCUCAUCUGGCCCAAUACUGACGCUGAGGCGCGAAAGCUAGGGGAGCAAACGGG
rnacentral:rRNA from 1 species